UAUAGAAAAACCAUAAAAAUACUAAAAAUAAAUCUGAAUUUUUUCACAAUUUUCGAAAAAGCUAUGGAACAUUCACAAAAUUUAAGGUGCGCAAAAUAAACUUGAGAGUAUCACGAUGUUAAUAAUACGGAUAGGAUACAUCGAUCAAUCAUAUUCACCCUUGGUCAAACAACUUCCAUAAUUCUCCUUUCAUUGACCGUAAUCCAUGUUGACAUAAAUUUUUUUCCGGGUCCUUUCAAGUGACGAAAGAUUGCACACAGGAUUAAGAUGACAGAAUAAUAAUCGACGUAAAUGAAGAUUCACGCGGCGCACGUGACUUUCCCAGGGAGAGAGAAACAGAAAGUCCGUGAAAUUGCAAUGGUUAUGUCGCGCGCGCAUACAAGCGCGAUGCGCCGUAAAUUCCGCACAACGUGUCUGCCGGCUUGAAAGCCGAUCCAGUUCGCAACGAGCGACCGCGCUGGUGUCGUCCAUAACACGAGCGAAAUUUUCGUCCUCCCCCCCCGACUUUGACAUUUUUGCCUCGAACGGAUCUAAAUCAGAAUUUGAAAUCAAUCCUGAAAGAAAAUUUUCGCAUUAUUUUUGAAUAAUAUUAAAAUAACAAUUGAUGUUCAAUCGAUAAGUUUAGUUUUUGAUCGAGACGAGAUAAAUAUCGAAGAGUUAAAUAUCUCGUUUCGUUAAAUAAUCGGCGAACGAAAAGACGAUUCGUGCGGUCGAAAAUGUGACGAUGAACAAUACCAGUGAUUUAGGUCAGUGUAGUUCAAGGUGAAAUUGAGUCUAGCCAAGUGUGAGAACCAGUUUUCCCGAGUUUCCCCUCUGUUACGUCGAAACUUCGUAGAUAGGUCGAUAGAUGGUAGUCCGUAAUUUGAAACAUAACGGCUGCGACGAACUUGACGGAAACUUGACGAAACAUGAACGUGAUUUUAAGAUAAAGGCAUUCUUGUUUCUUGAUAUCAUCGAAGUCGUUUCGAAGUCAUUAGAUUUUCAUUAUAGACGGUAUUCCAAGAAAUACAGUCGUUUCGAGUUGAUAAGACGUCAUCAAUCAAACGAUGAUAUGCUAGGUCAGUGUUGAAAUUGAAUUCGUACAGGAUCAAAGACCGUUGGGAAUGCGUUUCCCUCCAGACAGAACACCGCCACGAACACUAAUAUGGGCUUCGUUACCGAUGGACAACCACGACAAACACUUGUUGCUAGAGACGUGUGUCGAACGAAUGACUGCUGCCGUUGCUCUCCAACAUUGUUUUCUGGUGGAAUUGUUGCGCUCGUGAGACAAAAUCGACUGUUCUACUUGUAAAAUAUCGAAAUUUAUCUUAGAUACCGUUGUUCCCACGCGAAUAGAAUGAAUUCAAUUUUUUAAAUCGAAUCGUUCUGAAUGAGAAUUAUCCGUGUAUUGUAAAACCAUUUUUUAAACGAAGAAUUUCAUUUAUAGGUUAUAAGUGAAUUAAAAAUUUUUUAUUAUUAUUGUGAUGUGAAACAAUCGUGUAAUAUGAAGUUUCAUAAAUAUUCCUAAUAAGGUUAUGGUGACGUAUCAUUCAUUAGGAGUGUUACAACACAGUUCAUUUUACGAAGGCGUUUGUUAACUGGCAUAUAUUCAGAGCGUUCUUCGUGGCGCUAACGAAACAUAAGAAAAAAGAAAGAAAGAAAGAAAGAAAUAAAUAAGAGAAAUAAAUAAGAUUGUUUAUAUCUAUUGAUCUUCGAUUCUUCUUUUUUAACGUUUUAUCAUUCUCCGAAGAGAGGCCAAUAUAAUCGUAAAAUGAAACGUAUACAGCUACUACUCACACCCCAGAAAAUACUCGACCACACGAAGAUUCGACGAUUUUCCUGCCUUCCCGGAUAAUCCGAAUUUGCAACGACGUUUGCACGAAGGACGGUCGUGGAUCUUCGUAUCUUUGGGAAAGUAAAAAAAUUGUGAGAGAAUUAUAUUUCGUGAAUUAAAAAAAGAAA